rnacentral:rRNA from 1 species
UACGGAGGAUCCGAGCGUUAUCCGGAUUUAUUGAGUUUAAAGGGUGCGCAGGCGGGAGAUUAAGUCGGCGGUGAAAUUUUGCAGCUCAACUGUAAAAGUGCCUUCGAAACUGGUUUCCUUGAGUGUAGAUGAAGUAGGCGGAAUUUGUGGUGUAGCGGCGAAAUGCUUAGAUAUCACGAGGAACUCCGAUUGCGCAGGCAGCUUACUAAACUACUACUGACGCUCAGGCACGAAGGCGUGGGGAUCAAACAGGAUUAGAUACCCCCGUAGUCCCU